CCUACGGGAGGCAGCAGUGAGGAAUAUUGGUCCAUGGACGAGAGUCUGAACCAGCCAAGUAGCGUGAAGGAUGACUGCCCUAUGGGUUGUAAACUUCUUUUAUAUGGGAAUAAAAUGUUCCACGUGUGGGAUUUUGUAUGUACCCUAUGAAUAAGGAUCGGCUAACUCCGUGCCAGCAGCCGCGGUAAUACGGAGGAUCCGAGCGUUAUCCGGAUUUAUUGGGUUUAAAGGGAGCGUAGGUGGAUUGUUAAGUCAGUUGUGAAAGUUUGCGGCUCAACCGUAAAAUUGCAGUUGAAACUGGCAGUCUUGAGUACAGUAGAGGUGGGCGGAAUUCGUGGUGUAGCGGUGAAAUGCUUAGAUAUCACGAAGAACUCCGAUUGCGAAGGCAGUUCACUGGACUGCAACUGACACUGAGGCUCGAAAGUGUGGGUAUCAAACAGGAUUAGAUACCCGUGUAGUC
rnacentral:rRNA from 1 species